rnacentral:rRNA from 1 species
GAUGAACGCUGGCGGCGUGCCUAAUACAUGCAAGUCGAGCGAACAGACGAGGAGCUUGCUUCUCUGACGUUAGCGGCGGACGGGUGAGUAACACGUGGAUAACCUACCUAUAAGACUGGGAUAACUUCGGGAAACCGGAGCUAAUACCGGAUAAUAUAUUGAACCGCAUGGCUCAAUAGUGAAAGACGGUUUUGCUGUCACUUAUAGAUGGAUCCGCGCCGCAUUAGCUAGUUGGUAAGGUAACGGCUUACCAAGGCAACGAUGCGUAGCCGACCUGAGAGGGUGAUCGGCCACACUGGAACUGAGACACGGUCCAGACUCCUACGGGAGGCAGCAGUAGGGAAUCUUCCGCAAUGGGCGAAAGCUUGACGGAGCAACGCCGCGUGAGUGAUGAAGGUCUUCGGAUCGUAAAACUCUGUUAUUAGGGAAGAACAAAUGUGUAAGUAACUAUGCACGUCUUGACGGUACCUAAUCAGAAAGCCACGGCUAACUACGUG